GGCCGAUGAUGUAAGAAAAUUUUGCUGCUCUCGAUGUGAUUAAUCCUAUCCGAUUCAUUUCCACCAAGAUCUCUGAGGUU
rnacentral:snoRNA from 1 species